ACUAUGAGCCAGAGUCACUAAGCUCUACCAAGCCCAUUUAGUCAUUCUAGUGUCACUGCAGCAUAUCUGCCAGCAGAAGCAAUGGUUUGGCAGUGUCAGGGUAGUUUACGUUUCUCUGCAUGGGAUGGACUGAGGAACACCUCCCAGUAUUGUCCAGGGACUGCCAGCAAGCUGCCCAGUCAACACAGAGCCCUAACCAGCUGUGCCAUUAGUAUUAGCUGGUUGGCUGGCCAAGCUUAUCGGAGUUAUUGGUAGUGGGACCAUUUGGUGGUGAAAGACUCAGCACCUCAUUAGAUGAUUAACAUUUGACAUGCAUGCUGCAUCUCAAGAGAACUUCCCUAACUCUGUGUCCUUUAGCUAAUGGAGUUAAGAUGUCCUGAUGGACAUAAUAUCCCCUGAUGGACUGGGAAGAGCCAUACUGGUUUGCCUUAGUAAACUCUAUAUGUUGGGAGCAUUCUGCUCUAUGGUGGGUCCCAAAAGAACCAUAUGAUCUGGGUUUUUUUCCAGCGCCUGAGGUAUCCUAUGGCCCCAUAACUUCAGAUGGUGGAGAGAUGACUGUAUAAUCUUGCUGUGAGAUUGGCCUGGUCCGCAAGCAUUUCAAUAGGAAUAAAAGUGCCCCAAAGAACACAGAAGCGGCCAGCACUUCUCCGCAGGACACAACGCUGCGGGUCCCUACCUGGGAGCAGGAGAUAACGGAGGAGGACGGUUGGUAGCAUGAAGGAAGUGCGAUGAGGCAACUCGUAUGACAGAAAUAGUGCUAAAAGAUCUAGCCAGCAUUUACCUGCUCAAGAACUGCAAGGCAAUUUCUUUGAGAGGAAAGAUCAAAGUUUGCUAUCCAAAUGAUAUUUUGAAUUUAAAUGCUUGCAUUUGUAGUAGUAAAAUUAGGAUUCGUAAAACUAGUAGUUUUUUUAUCCAAAUGCUAAACUUUUUAUUUAUCACCCAUAUAUUUAACGACCCAUAUGAUGUGUAAGGAUUUUUUAAAUUUUCUUUUUGAAAAGGUUAGACGGACCUUUACUUUCCAAAGGCUGAGAAACAGCAUGGCAGUCCAUCCUUUACUGAGAGAUCACGGCGACGUCUGCGUAACUUCUUACAGCUUCCGGUGAAUUACUGAUGGCAAAUCAUCCUGGUCCCUUCACUAGUUCAAACGUUCAUCUUUGGGAAAAGUGAGUGUCAGAAGGCUGGUUGUGAAGCCGUGGGGCCAUUUAUCGGCUGCGCUGACACUUGGCCUUUGCUGGAGUAUGUGCCUCUGAGAUGGCAGAGGCCUUUGUCAUCUUCAUGAGUUUUCUAGGAAAGCCAUGAAUUGAAACACAUGGUCCAUCGCAUAUGCUCCGUCUGACAUGUUUUCACUUGAGUCACUCCUUCACCCGAGAUGCGUGCGCUGCAAUACCGUACUCCAAACCAAGAGACAAAUGCUUUAAUCCGGAGCACAGGUGAACCGCCUCAAACGGAAGCUAACAUUCAGGUUUAGAAACCAGGCAAAGUAUUGGUAAAGGAAGAAGGAAAGUAAUUUCAGUUUCUGCUUUAGGCUGAGGCCUUACCUUAAAUUUGGCUCUUAUUAUGCUUGAUUUUUAAUUAAACUUGUAGGUAGGUCAUGUUAUUGAAAAACCAGUAUUAAAUUAAACUUCCUGUAUUUGUAAGAAAUUUAUCCUAAGCCGUGUUUUUCCCUGGAAAAUUACCAGCGCAGCAAUCCCUCCCAUUGCUCUUCUUCUCUUUUCCAUGUCCCUGGGAUCCCCCGUCCUGCCGCAGCUCUGGCUGCUCUCCCCCGCCGUCUCCUUAGCCAAGUUGUGCGAGAGGAAAAACUUGCUCCUCCUGCUUCAGAUGGUCUUCCUUGCCCGGGAGACCUGGAUUCUGCCGUCUCGGUCUGCUGCCUGCUUUGCAGCUGUGACAGGAGGCUGCAGGGGACAGACAUCCAGCCACAGGACUUCCCCUAAUUAAGUCCCUACUUCUAGGUGCUGGAGGAGGUACCGGCUCUCUGGUUUUAACCCACUACUCUAAACACAAAGAGAAAAUGCUUUUCCCACAGAAGUCAAGAUAAUUCCCCAUAAACACAGGAGGAAAUCAGCCGUGACUCCCCAUCCCUUCCCUUGUGCUGUCUAUUGGCGCAAGCAACUGGGGAAGGACGAAAGGAGAUAGAAGCGAGCAUCCCAGCAGCAAAGGGCUCAGGGAAGAAGACAAUGAAAACCAAAAUCUAUCCACGUGUCAUCAAACCACUUGUGACAAGAAAACCAACUUCGAGGUCAGGGCAAGAGCACAUGAGACAAAGCCAAGCUGCCACAACUCGAUAGCCGCUCAUGGCUGGUGUCCAAACUACUAAGAUGGCAAACUUUGAUCUCUGCAGGACUUGACAUCUAAGCACACAGGCUGGCAAAACUACCGGCAGUGGAUUGAAUCAGGAACUGAUCCGGCUAAAAAUAACCGAGGGUGGAGUGGGGAACUAUUACUCUUCGGUCACUGAAACUUUCCAAUCUGCUUCAUGAUGCAGUUGCACACAGAGCUGCACCAGCACAGUGAGCAGAGCAUGGGAGUAAAUGACCACGAGGACACACAGAGGAGGGGAUGAGGAUCACUCGUUUUGCUUUUGAAAGAAAUGCAGGUGGAACCACAGCUUCAGUGGGCUGAGUACUCAAAGGGCUGUUGUUUCACGACGUGGAUUGCAUGGUGGCAAUACCAACUUCAGGAACCGCUGAGCUCUUUGGAUGUUUGUUGCCACCCGCCCCAGACUGCAAUUUUCCCUCAUUUGUGCCAACCCGGCUGUUUGUGGAGCUGUGCUGAGCGCCGGAUCGGGGAAGCAAUCCAAGUUAAAAAUAACCCAGCGGGUGGCUGGGGAUGGCAAGAGCUUCAGCCAUCCGAUGUAAUCUGCUGUCACAAGUCAGGGAGAGCUGUUUGCAAUUGCAGGGUCAUGAAAGCCCGGCCUCGGAGAUACCUAUUUACUACAAGAAAUAUGAACUUUUCAGCCAGUUGAAGGAGCGUUGUGAAUGAGGCGGCUGGAAUCCUUUGCCCAUGUUCUUAAGGGACAAGGGAGCAAACCUCACUGUGCACCAAUGCCAGCACAAAACGUCUUCCCACAAGCUUUACUUUAGCAGCCCUUCACAUGACGGUUUUGCAACAAAAACUAAUGGCAGUCUACGCUAUUCAGCUGAUGUGUGUUGUUUAUUCUGUGGGUUAGGGAGAAAGUUACCAUGAUUUUUAAGUGCUGGAAGGGUACUGCAGAUAUGGGGGCUGUGCUGGCACCAAGCAAGAGAAUAGAAGAGUAUUCUUUACAGACAUGAAUCUAAUAGCUUUGUGUUACAGAGCAAAGUACUAAUUUGUGGAUAUAUUCUAGAAGAACACCUCUUCUUCUCAGCUCUAGAAAAACAAUACUAUUGCUGUGAUGCACCAGCACUAACCUACGUGAUCACAGCAGCAGUGACAUGAUUUUCACCUACUCAUAGGCUUGGAGGGGAGCAUUUGUAAUUAUUCAUUCUCUCUUGUAUUCCAAGGCAUAUCUGGGUUUCUUCUGGCUUCUCUCUUCAGUUCAUGGUUCACGCUUCCUGGGUUGAGUAUUUUUAAAUACCAGUCAUUUCCUUUUUCUCCCCCUCCUGCUUGUGACUUGGCACUUCACUGCUUCCCUCCCCAGGAAUGCCCCUGCUGGGAGCUGGCUGGCUUGAGCCCCGAUGGCAAUGAAGGUGAAGCAUCAAGAGCUUCAGAGCCUGAGGAAUUUCAGGAUCUUCUCAGGUUACAUUUCUUGAGAAAGCAAUUCACCUUUUCUUCAUGUGCAUUAAUGGCUCCAUACACAUUGAGGUGGAAGGUGCAGUUGAAACCCACAGUUACAUUAGCAUUAGCAGCUACGUUGCAUAUUAGCCAAAUGAAAGCAAGUGCCUGAGGCUUAGGGCAGGAUGUGGCUGCCCUAAGGCAAACUCUAAAUGCUUUCACACCAACCUCUGCGCUCAGGCCUGAGACAUAACGUCACUGUCGACCAUGCCAGGUAACUCCUUAGAUUUCAAGGGUCCAGAAGAAGUACCGUCGUAUUUUGCCAACUUCUUUCGCCUUUCUAAGAAUGUGAGGACUUGUGUUCGGUGGUUGUAAUUCUUCUCUCUCUAGACACAAGGAAAAAUGUUUUGUUCCACCUCCCUGCCCCCUGCAUUCCCAUUGCCGCUUCCCUUUUUGUGAUAAUUGUUAAAAGAUAUCUUUUUUUUUUUAAUAAAGCAGCUUGUGGUUCCUGUUUGACCCUAGGUUCAAAAAGGUUUAUCAUAUGUCCAAUGAAUUGGGAAGAUAUCUGCAAUCUCUCUAAUGCAUACUACAUGUAAACUCUGUUUUUCCUGUUUUGCUUGGUAUUUCUGCCUGCCUGAAGGCAUAGAGAGAAUUCAAAGGUCAGCUGUGAAAGAAAUCAGGCAAGAAGAGAGAGCAGUUGCCCUGCAGAGAGGCAUCUUCUUAAGCACAACAGGCAGGUGCAGAGCUGUGGGAAGCAACUUCUCAGUCCCUAUCCUAGAAAAGAAGAUCUUCUGGCUCUCGCAUCUGUUCACGUGAAUGAGCGUACCAAAAAGGCCAGGCCUGUGAGAGGAAAACCAAGCAUUUGUUGAAGUCCAUCAGGACCGCAAAAGCAAUGUUACCAGGUGGAUUCAUGCGUUUUCUACGAAGAAAGCCAGCAAGCACUUGAACGAGAACAGGGAGGGGACCGUUGAGAGGUGGAUCAGCUGACUUACAAGAUGUAUCAGGUCUGGCAUGGAAAGGCUAAAGGCCCUUCAGAGUUUGGGACACAAGAGCAAAAGCGGCAAAGCAGCCUACCCCAGCAAUGCCUCUUUUGGCCUCUGUUUGCUCCAUCUCCUUGAAAUAUCCUGUAUUUUCCUUUUUUCAGAGAUGGGGGCUCCUGUUGUUGUGUCUCUGGCUAUUCAUACCAGUGUUGUUGGGGUAAAGGGGAAACCGGGCCACAAGGAACAGUUUGCUGUGCAUGCAAGGGCAGUUUUGUUUGUUUGAUGUAUCUCAAAAAUUGCUUUAGAGAUUACACAUAAAAUACUUUUGAAAAUUUAUUAAACACGUAAAACGCA